rnacentral:rRNA from 1 species
GGCGGCAUGCCUUACACAUGCAAGUCGAACGGCAGCACGGGAGCAAUCCUGGUGGCGAGUGGCGAACGGGUGAGUAAUACAUCGGAACGUGCCCAAUCGUGGGGGAUAACGCAGCGAAAGCUGUGCUAAUACCGCAUGAGAUCUACGGAUGAAAGCAGGGGACCGCAAGGCCUUGCGCGAAUGGAGCGGCCGAUGGCAGAUUAGGUAGUUGGUGAGGUAAAGGCUCACCAAGCCUGCGAUCUGUAGCUGGUCUGAGAGGACGACCAGCCACACUGGGACUGAGACACGGCCCAGACUCCUACGGGAGGCAGCAGUGGGGAAUUUUGGACAAUGGGCGCAAGCCUGAUCCAGCCAUGCCGCGUGCAGGAUGAAGGCCUUCGGGUUGUAAACUGCUUUUGUACGGAACGAAAAGGCUUUCUCUAAUAAAGGGGGCUCAUGACGGUACCGUAAGAAUAAGCACCGGCUAACUACGUGCCAGCAGCCGCGGUAAUACGUAGGGUGCAAGCGUUAAUCGGAAUUACUGGGCGUAAAGCGUGCGCAGGCGGUGAUGUAAGACAGUUGUGAAAUCCCCGGGCUCAACCUGGGAACUGCAUCUGUGACUGCAUCGCUGGAGUGCGGCAGAGGGGGAUGGAAUUCCGCGUGUAGCAGUGAAAUGCGUAGAUAUGCGGAGGAACACCGAUGGCGAAGGCAAUCCCCUGGGCCUGCACUGACGCUCAUGCACGAAAGCGUGGGGAGCAAACAGGAUUAGAUACCCUGGUAGUCCACGCCCUAAACGAUGUCAACUGGUUGUUGGGUCUUCACUGACUCAGUAACGAAGCUAACGCGUGAAGUUGACCGCCUGGGGAGUACGGCCGCAAGGUUGAA